rnacentral:tRNA from 1 species
GGAGCGGGCGGGUUCGAGUCCCGUCCGUUCC